rnacentral:rRNA from 1 species
AGGACGAACGCUGGCGGCGUGCUUAACACAUGCAAGUCGAACGAUGAACCACUUCGGUGGGGAUUAGUGGCGAACGGGUGAGUAACACGUGGGCAAUCUGCCCUGCACUCUGGGACAAGCCCUGGAAACGGGGUCUAAUACCGGAUACUGACCCGCUUGGGCAUCCAAGCGGUUCGAAAGCUCCGGCGGUGCAGGAUGAGCCCGCGGCCUAUCAGCUUGUUGGUGAGGUAAUGGCUCACCAAGGCGACGACGGGUAGCCGGCCUGAGAGGGCGACCGGCCACACUGGGACUGAGACACGGCCCAGACUCCUACGGGAGGCAGCAGUGGGGAAUAUUGCACAAUGGGCGAAAGCCUGAUGCAGCGACGCCGCGUGAGGGAUGACGGCCUUCGGGUUGUAAACCUCUUUCAGCAGGGAAGAAGCGAAAGUGACGGUACCUGCAGAAGAAGCGCCGGCUAACUACGUGCCAGCAGCCGCGGUAAUACGUAGGGCGCGAGCGUUGUCCGGAAUUAUUGGGCGUAAAGAGCUCGUAGGCGGCUUGUCACGUCGGUUGUGAAAGCCCGGGGCUUAACCCCGGGUCUGCAGUCGAUACGGGCAGGCUAGAGUUCGGUAGGGGAGAUCGGAAUUCCUGGUGUAGCGGUGAAAUGCGCAGAUAUCAGGAGGAACACCGGUGGCGAAGGCGGAUCUCUGGGCCGAUACUGACGCUGAGGAGCGAAAGCGUGGGGAGCGAACAGGAUUAGAUACCCUGGUAGUCCACGCCGUAAACGGUGGGCACUAGGUGUGGGCGACAUUCCACG